UAAGUUCUGCCGUGUUCGUGAUGGUUAAUAUUGUUUUGACCAACACCAAAACAAUGGGAGCCUGGACUCUAUCUGUGGCGCAUAGGCCUUUUUAAAAAGGAAAUGCAAAUCAGAUAGGAGGGCACCCACCUGGAAGACAGGGAUCAAACCUGAUAAUCACACGGCAUGGUGGAACACUA
rnacentral:other from 1 species